AUUGAACGCUAGCGGGAUGCUUUACACAUGCAAGUCGAACGGCAGCGCGGACUUCGGUCUGGCGGCGAGUGGCGAACGGGUGAGUAAUGUAUCGGAACGUGCCCAGUAGCGGGGGAUAACUACGCGAAAGCGUAGCUAAUACCGCAUACGCCCUACGGGGGAAAGCAGGGGAUCGUAAGACCUUGCACUAUUGGAGCGGCCGAUAUCGGAUUAGCUAGUUGGUGAGGUAACGGCUCACCAAGGCGACGAUCCGUAGCUGGUGUGAGAGGACGACCAGCCACACGGGGACUGAGACACGGCCCAGACUCCUACGGGAGGCAGCAGUGGGGAAUUUUGGACAAUGGGGGCAACCCUGAUCCAGCCAUCCCGCGUGUGCGAUGAAGGCCUUCGGGUUGUAAAGCACGUUUGGCAGGAAAGAAACGUCGCGGGCUAAUACCCCGUGGAACUGACGGUACCUGCAGAAUAAGCACCGGCUAACUACGUG
rnacentral:rRNA from 1 species